GAUGAACGCUGGCGGCGUGCCUAAUACAUGCAAGUCGAGCGAACAGAUAAGGAGCUUGCUCCUUUGACGUUAGCGGCGGACGGGUGAGUAACACGUGGGUAACCUACCUAUAAGACUGGGAUAACUUCGGGAAACCGGAGCUAAUACCGGAUAACAUUUGGAACCGCAUGGUUCUAAAGUGAAAGAUGGUUUUGCUAUCACUUAUAGAUGGACCCGCGCCGUAUUAGCUAGUUGGUAAGGUAACGGCUUGCCAAGGCGACGAUACGUAGCCGACCUGAGAGGGUGAUCGGCCACACUGGAACUGAGACACGGUCCAGACUCCUACGGGAGGCAGCAGUAGGGAAUCUUCCGCAAUGGGCGAAAGCCUGACGGAGCAACGCCGCGUGAGUGAUGAAGGGUUUCGGCUCGUAAAACUCUGUUAUUAGGGAAGAACAAAUGUGUAAGUAACUGUGCACGUCUUGACGGUACCUAAUCAGAAAGCCACGGCUAACUACGUG
rnacentral:rRNA from 1 species